UCCCGCCUGCCCAGUGACUCUUUAAACGGCCGCGGUAUCCUAACCGUGCAAAGGUAGCAUAAUCACUUGUCCCCUAAAUAGGGACUAGAAUGAACGGCUAAAUGAGGACAAAACUGUCUCUUACGGACCAGCCAAUGAAAUUGAUCUUCCAGUACAAAAGCUGGAAUAAACCCAUAAGACGAGAAGACCCUGUGGAGCUUUAAAACCAAAACCACCAAACAUGUUUUUUGGUUUUUUAGUUGGGGCGACUUUGGAGAAAAAAUAAUCCUCCAAACUACAAACCCAUUUAUUAAGAAUAACACAUCAAAAAUAAUCAAAUAGACCCAGCAACAUUUUUAUGUUGUCUGACCAAUGAACCAAGUUACCCCAGGGAUAACAGCGCCAUCCUCUUCUAGAGUCCCUAUCGACAAGAGGGUUUACGACCUCGAUGUUGGAUCAGGACACCCCUAUAGUGCAGCCGCUUUAAAAGGUUCGUUUGUUCAACGAUUAAAGUCCUACGUGAUCU
rnacentral:rRNA from 1 species